rnacentral:rRNA from 1 species
UACGGAGAGGGCUAGCGUUAUUCGGAAUUAUUGGGCGUAAAGGGCGCGUAGGCUGGUUAGUAAGUUAAAAGUGAAAUUCCGAGGCUUAACCUUGGAACUGCUUUUAAAACUGCUAACCUAGAGAUUGAAAGAGGAUAGAGGAAUUCCUAAUGUAGAGGUGAAAUUCGUAAAUAUUAGGAGGAACACCAGUGGCGAAGGCGUCUAUCUGGUUCAAAUCUGACGCUGAGGCGCGAAGGCGUGGGGAGCAAACA